rnacentral:rRNA from 1 species
GUCGAGCGGACAGAUGGGAGCUUGCUCCCUGAUGUUAGCGGCGGACGGGUGAGUAACACGUGGGUAACCUGCCUGUAAGACUGGGAUAACUCCGGGAAACCGGGGCUAAUACCGGAUGCUUGUUUGAACCGCAUGGUUCAAACAUAAAAGGUGGCUUCGGCUACCACUUACAGAUGGACCCGCGGCGCAUUAGCUAGUUGGUGAGGUAACGGCUCACCAAGGCAACGAUGCGUAGCCGACCUGAGAGGGUGAUCGGCCACACUGGGACUGAGACACGGCCCAGACUCCUACGGGAGGCAGCAGUAGGGAAUCUUCCGCAAUGGACGAAAGUCUGACGGAGCAACGCCGCGUGAGUGAUGAAGGUUUUCGGAUCGUAAAGCUCUGUUGUUAGGGAAGAACAAGUACCGUUCGAAUAGGGCGGUACCUUGACGGUACCUAACCAGAAAGCCACGGCUAACUACGUGCCAGCAGCCGCGGUAAUACGUAGGUGGCAAGCGUUGUCCGGAAUUAUUGGGCGUAAAGGGCUCGCAGGCGGUUUCUUAAGUCUGAUGUGAAAGCCCCCGGCUCAACCGGGGAGGGUCAUUGGAAACUGGGGAACUUGAGUGCAGAAGAGGAGAGUGGAAUUCCACGUGUAGCGGUGAAAUGCGUAGAGAUGUGGAGGAACACCAGUGGCGAAGGCGACUCUCUGGUCUGUAACUGACGCUGAGGAGCGAAAGCGUGGGGAGCGAACAGGAUUAGAUACCCUGGUAGUCCACGCCGUAAACGAUGAGUGCUAAGU